AAAGGGAAAAGAGAGAAAGUAUAGAGCAUCAUAAAUUAUAACCACAAACAAUGAUGAACACUUCAAAUAUUACAGCUUUUUUUCAUCUUUUUCUAUUUCUUCUACUUUGUUUCUCUCUUGACGCGAAUAUCCUCGUAAA
rnacentral:ribozyme from 1 species